GCUCUUCGGACCUCACGCUAUCAGAUGAGCCUAGGUCGGAUUAGCUAGUUGGUGAGGUAAUGGCUCACCAAGGCGACGAUCCGUAACUGGUCUGAGAGGAUGAUCAGUCACACUGGAACUGAGACACGGUCCAGACUCUAUACGGGAGGCAGCAGUGGGGAAUAUUGGACAAUGGGCGAAAGCCUGAUCCAGCCAUGCCGCGUGUGUGAAGAAGGUCUUCGGAUUGUAAAGCACUUUAAGUUGGGAGGAAGGGUUGUACGUUAAUACCGUGCAAUUUUGACGUUACCGACAGAAUAAGCACCGGCUAACUCUGUGCCAGCAGCCGCGGUAAUACAGAGGGUGCAAGCGUUAAUCGGAAUUACUGGGCGUAAAGCGCGCGUAGGUGGUUUGUUAAGUUGGAUGUGAAAUCCCCGGGCUCAACCUGGGAACUGCAUCCAAAAC
rnacentral:rRNA from 1 species